AUACCCUAUUAUUUUUAAUGUAAAUUGUUAAUGUAGACUUGAGUAGUAAUAGAUAUAUUCUUGAAACUUAAAGAAUUUGGCGGUAUUAUAGUCUAUUUAGAGGAAUCUGUUUUAUAAUCGAUAUUCCGCGUUGGACCUUACUUAAAUUAUUGUUUGUAUACCGCUGUUUAGAAUGUAUUUUUAGAUAAAGAUUUUCUUAAUUCUUGAGAAAGGAAUUAUUUCAAGUCAAGGUGCAAUUAUAUUUAAGUUAAAUAAUGGAUUACAAUAAAUUUUAUUUAUUAUGAAUUAUAAAUUUUAAUUAUUUAUAUGAAAGUGGAUUUAAUCGUAAUUUGGUGAAGAUUUUCUGAAUGAUUAAAAGCUCUAUAAUAUGUACACAUCGC
rnacentral:rRNA from 1 species